ACCAACAAGUUCUGUAACAAAUCCAGUAGAUACAAGAGCUUUAAACAACAAAAUGUCUCGUCGGAGUCCAAACAAAGACUAAGGAAAAGAAAGAGGCGUGAAAAACAAGAAAUUGUUAUUACACAACAAAGAGAAAAGAGGCGAAAUUGUUGUGGCUGAGAAUAUGAAGAACAACCUCAUCAAGCACUGAAAUCAUCAGAUUUGCCACAUCAACUGGGAACGAAUUUCUUCUUCCUAUCUCUCUUAUCUUGUUCUUAAUUUUCUGAUCUACAAUAUUUAAAACAAAGUUUUGGAGAAAAAACCCUUCACAAAAACCAGGGCUUGUUCUUUAAUACAAGUCAGAUUUUGUUUCAAAAUCUUGAUUAAGAAUGAUUUUUUGUUACAGAUCUACAACCAGUAGAUCCUAUUCUUCAAACCCAUGGAAGAUUUUUUCCAAAAACACUAAAAAUCAACAUAUUUGCCUGAUUCAGAGCUUUUUUUAUUCUCUUUCUCUUCGUACUGUGUUACACAUCGGAGAAAUUGAUAACUCAAUUGAACUGCUGCUGCAGAAAUUGACGAUUAUGAAGUCACAUCGGAGCAGCAGAAGAAAGCUUCAAAGCUGCAUCGUGCCGGCCAAUUGAAGUCGGUCACCAGUUCUUAUCCGAACUCAUAUCGGAGUGAUUCACCAUCAGCACAACAGAUGCUAGCCCUCGGCAUCAUAGCCUAAUUGAGAAUAUGGUGGUAGACGAAAUCACAAGUACGGACCACCAACAGCACCAUAACCAUCUCGUACAUCUCAAUUGAGAUCCUCCACCUCACACGAAGUAGGUCAGAAAGCUACCAGUUCGUGAAGAAGCAAUCAGUGAGAGCCAACUAGAGACCAGACUCACCAAGUCAUCGGACUGGAGCCUCGGCCUGAUCUGCUCGGACUCAUCAGUCCAUCUCCGAGCACCAACCUCGGACAAGCAAUGCAGCCAGAGCUUGAACUCGGAUGCAUCAACACUUUAGCCUGAUUUAGAAAAAUGAUGAUGGACGAAGUCGCAUCGGAGCAAUUAUGAUUACAGACCGCCAUCAGCACCAUCUCGGGUGAACAAUUCGUGAAAAAUUACAGAGUCAAUCGGACUCAAUCCAUACCAGACAGCUCAAUUAGAGCAACCAUCUCGUAAUGGCAGUACUGCUCAACUCAGGGCAUCAACUUCACACGAUUAGAUCGGAAAGCUACCUCCUAUCAACUCGUGAAGAAGCAAUCAGCAAGACGAUGUUCAACUCGGAGUAACCAUCAGCUCAACGAUGUCGGACCAGAAGCGAUAUCAGUUCAUAUCGGACAGCUCAACCUACAUCGGACUAACCAAGUCAUUGGAAUGGAGCAUGAACUCAAAGAUGAUGAUGGGCGAACUCACAUCGGAGCAGCCAUCUCAGACAGAUACUGACGAUUAAGAUCGGACAGAGGCAACUCUCAUCACCUCGUGGCAAAACAACCAGCACGAUGGGAGCCAACCAGAGCUCGGACUCAUCAUUCUCAGACCACAGGCGAGCUAGGAAAACAGAGUCAACCAACACGAUGAUGUUCAACCGAGUCUCGGACUCACCAGUCUCGGACAAGCAAUACAACCAGAGCUCGAACUCAUGAACUGAUCGAUCAAGGAGGAGCACGAACUCGGAUCAUACAGUAAUAUCGGGCUGGGACAUCGGACAUGUCUCCUGAUUCCCUCGGACUCAACAUUUCAUCUCCGAGCAACAACUCGGAUACCACACCUUCCUCUUUCAAUUUACUUUUCUGAUUGCAUAUAUGAUAUGCUAAGAUUCAUAAUAGCUCAAUGCUUAAUACUUAGAUGCAUAGAUACUUGAGUAGUACUUUGAAUCAAUAGAAAUUUGAUGCAAUUUAUGAA